AGAGUUUGAUCAUGGCUCAGAUUGAACGCUGGCGGCAGGCCUAACACAUGCAAGUCGAACGGUAACAGGAAGCAGCUUGCUGCUUCGCUGACGAGUGGCGGACGGGUGAGUAAUGUCUGGGAAACUGCCUGAUGGAGGGGGAUAACUACUGGAAACGGUAGCUAAUACCGCAUAACGUCGCAAGACCAAAGAGGGGGACCUUCGGGCCUCUUGCCAUCGGAUGUGCCCAGAUGGGAUUAGCUAGUAGGUGGGGUAACGGCUCACCUAGGCGACGAUCCCUAGCUGGUCUGAGAGGAUGACCAGCCACACUGGAACUGAGACACGGUCCAGACUCCUACGGGAGGCAGCAGUGGGGAAUAUUGCACAAUGGGCGCAAGCCUGAUGCAGCCAUGCCGCGUGUAUGAAGAAGGCCUCGGGUUGUAAAGUACUUUCAGCGGGGAGGAAGGCGAUAAGGUUAAUAACCUUGCCGAUUGACGUUACCCGCAGAAGAAGCACCGGCUAACUCCGUGCCAGC
rnacentral:rRNA from 2 species